GAUGAACGCUAGCGACAGGCCUAACACAUGCAAGUCGAGGGGCAUCACAUGAGGCAGCAAUGCCGAUGGUGGCGACCGGCGCACGGGUGAGUAACACGUAUGCAACCUGCCUUCAACAAGGGGAUAACCCGUUGAAAAACGGACUAAUACCCUAUAACACAGGGGUCCCGCAUGGGAAUAUUUGUUAAAGGACAACCGGUUGAAGAUGGGCAUGCGUUCCAUUAGCUAGUUGGCGGGGUAACGGCCCACCAAGGCAACGAUGGAUAGGGGAACUGAGAGGUUUAUCCCCCACACUGGUACUGAGACACGGACCAGACUCCUACGGGAGGCAGCAGUGAGGAAUAUUGGUCAAUGGACGCAAGUCUGAACCAGCCACGUCGCGUGAAGGAAGACGGCCCUACGGGUUGUAAACUUCUUUUAUACGGGGAAUAAAGUGCCCCACGCGUGGGGUUUUGCAUGUACCGUAUGAAUAAGGAUCGGCUAACUCCGUG
rnacentral:rRNA from 1 species